rnacentral:rRNA from 1 species
GAGGAAUAUUGGUCAAUGGGCGAGAGCCUGAACCAGCCAAGUCGCGUGAAGGAUGAAGGUUUUAUGAAUUGUAAACUUCUUUUGCAGGGGAAUAAAGUUCACCACGUGUGGUGUUUUGUAUGUACUCUGCGAAUAAGGAUCGGCUAACUCCGUGCCAGCAGCCGCGGUAAUACGGAGGAUCCAAGCGUUAUCCGGAUUUAUUGGGUUUAAAGGGUGCGCAGGCGGACUGAUAAGUCAGCGGUGAAAGUUUGCAGCUUAACUGUAAAAUUGCCGUUGAAACUGUUAGUCUUGAGUGCAAAUGAGGUAAGCGGAAUGUGUUGUGUAGCGGUGAAAUGCUUAGAUAUAACACAGAACACCAAUUGCGAAGGCAGCUUACUGGGAUGCAACUGACGCUGAGGCACGAAAGCGUGGGGAUCAAAC